rnacentral:rRNA from 1 species
AACGCGAAGAACCUUACCAGGUCUUGACAUCCAACUAACGAGGCAGAGAUGCGUCAGGUGCCCUUCGGGGAAAGUUGAGACAGGUGGUGCAUGGUUGUCGUCAGCUCGUGUCGUGAGAUGUUGGGUUAAGUCCCGCAGCGAGCGCAACCCUUGCCAUUAGUUGCUACGCAAGAGCACUCUAAUGGGACUGCCGUUGAUAUAACGGAGGAAGGUGGGGACGACGUCAAAUCAUCAUGCCCCUUAUGACCUGGGCUACACACGUACUACAAUGGCCGUUAACAGAGGGAAGCAAUACAGCGAUGUGGAGCAAACCCCCAAAAACGGUCCCAGUUCGGAUUGCAGGCUGAAACUCGCCUGUAUGAAGGUGGAAUUGCUAGUAAUCGCGGAUCAGCAUGCCGCGGUGAAUACGUUCCCGGGUCUUGUACACACCG